AAAAAAAAAAAAAACCACUGCCACUUGUUUCUUUCAACCAUAGCCUGCCAAACUCCCCUGAUCAUAGGACAAUCCCUUAAUUUAACAAGUUAUGACCAACCCACUAACACUCCAAAGAAUUUCUCUUCGUCCAUGCUGCUAAAUGCUACAAACAUCACCAUAAUCUCACAGUGGAUACUCAUCCUUAAGCUAAGAAGCUCUCAAAAACAUAAAUAAAAGCAUGUGUUUGAAACCAUCCACCAAGCUAAGAAGCUCUCAAAAACAUAAAUAAAAGCAUGUGUUUGAAACCAUCCACC
rnacentral:misc_RNA from 1 species